UACAGAUGCUAAUGUUAAGCCAGAGGAAUUGUCCCCGUGUCCCUGGUGUGGGAAAGUUCUAGGAUUCCAUUUCAGAACUGGUUCCGUGAAACAUCCGUUUUAAAGGUGGAUAAAAUUCAAGACUCUUCAGACAUGCUUUUGCAGUGCUCCAAAUGGAGGAGAGACUCUUGCCCCUGACGGAAACUUUGGAAGAUGCCUUUGGCUGAUACUUCCUGGGAAUGUGUUAACAUCUCUCUGUAAAACUUUGGCAGCGUGGGACCUCUCAGAAGACUGCCAUUUGGGCAGGAACUCUCUUUGCUAAC
rnacentral:lncRNA from 1 species